AAAAAAAAAAGAAAAAAAAAGCUCUCCAAUAAUUUUUUUUUUUUGAGAGAGAUAUGUAGCAUGUUACUCGUUUCGUUCAUUUUAUUUAUAAAUAAACUUAGCUACAAAUGUGAAUCAACUAGGAUUCGAACUUGGGACUUCGGGUACCAACUGUAUAUUAUUUGUUUCCAAUAUAUAUUAAUUGUCGCUUUAAUAUAUUUUCAACAGUUUUGUUCUGUGAAAAAUUUAGGAACAAUUACUUAUAUACUCCUGAAAGGUUCUUGACUUUGGUAUUUAUCUUUUUAAAAAGACUAAUAUAUACAUAGAGUUAAAUUCUGUUAGUGAGUUACUAAGAACAACUAUUAUCUUCGUAAAAUUAUUAUUUUGUCCUUUCAAAUAUACUGCACUAGUUUUAUUAUUUACUUUUAAGAUAGGUUCAAAUAUAUCCUUCUGGAGUUACUAACAUUUUUUUUUACCCUUAAAUUAUGAGCAAAAAUAGAUAUUUUUUAUUAUUUUUAACUAUAGUUGAAAUUUAACUUAAUUUUAAUUCGAGAUGACUUAACGAAAAAUUCUAGAAUGCAACGGGUAUAUUAGUGACGUGGCGUAACAAACCAAUCAAAUUAAUCCUUUUAAGAAUAUAUGUCCCAUCAUGAUUGUAAAAAAAUAUUUGUAUUGUACUUUUGUUUGAAAAGAAGAAAUGUGAUUGGCUUGUUAUUGAUGACGUGGUGCAAGUGUGACAGUGUAGAAUUCCUCUGACUUAACAGGCACUAGCUAACAGCGUGAGUAUUUUUUAAUAACGGAAAAAUAUAUAAUAGAUAUUUUUGAAAUAAAAAAAUAUUAAUAAAUAAAAUAUUUUAGAUGUUUUGAGGGAUAUACAGAUAAUUAUCCCAAAAAUU
rnacentral:lncRNA from 1 species